rnacentral:rRNA from 1 species
AGUGUUUCCUUAUUCGACUGUAACUUCUUUUAUACGGGAAUAAAGUGGUCCACGUGUGGAUUUUUGUAUGUACCGUAUGAAUAAGGAUCGGCUAACUCCGUGCCAGCAGCCGCGGUAAUACGGAGGAUCCGAGCGUUAUCCGGAUUUAUUGGGUUUAAAGGGAGCGUAGGUGGAUUGUUAAGUCAGUUGUGAAGGUUUGCGGGCAA